UACGUAGGGUGCAAGCGUUGUCCGGAAUUAUUGGGCGUAAAGAGCUCGUAGGCGGUCUGUCGCGUCUGCUGUGAAAACUCAGGGCUUAACCCUGGGCCUGCAGUGGGUACGGGCAGACUAGAGUGCGGUAGGGGAGACUGGAAUUCCUGGUGUAGCGGUGAAAUGCGCAGAUAUCAGGAGGAACACCGGUGGCGAAGGCGGGUCUCUGGGCCGAUACUGACGCUGAGGAGCGAAAGCGUGGGGAGCGAACGGG
rnacentral:rRNA from 1 species